GACCAAUAGGUGCACUACACCAGAGACUACCAGAGGCUAGGAGUUAGCCCCAGCACCUCACAGUGGAGGCACUGCUAAAGCUGGAAGAAAUACAAAAAAAUGAGGAGAUUGCGAAUGAGAGAAAACACAUUUAUGAGGCAAUGGUGACCUUUAACCUAAAGGAAAUCCUGUCAGCUCAGACAUUGUUUUGAUGACUGUGGUUUAUGAAGUGGAAUAGUCUUUGUGGAAUUCUCUUCUAUACCAGAGGACGUUGAAAGUAAAGAAUCUGAAGAUCACGUCAAAGGAUUUUUGGAGGAGGCAUUAAGGCACAUAAUUACACAGGAAGAAAAUGGUAAGACUUCGAAAGUUGCAAUAGUUUUUGAAGAGAAAGGGGAGAUGAAUGCGUGCGUGACUCAGACCCUCCCUUGAAGUGAAAGGUUGGGUGGUUUAACGUGUUCCCUACACAUCAGCCUCACAGCGCUGGAUGCGAUGAGUA
ensembl:lncRNA